rnacentral:rRNA from 1 species
AUUGAACGCUGGCGGCAGGCCUAACACAUGCAAGUCGAACGCGUCGCGGACGUGUGAGUCAUGUCUGGGACACUGCCUGAUGGAGGGGGAUAACUCCUGGAAACGGUAGCUAAUACCGCAUACCAUCAGAUGUGCCCAGAUGGGCUUAGCUUGUUGGUGGGGUAACGGCUCACCAAGGCGACGAUCCCUAGCUGGGCUGAGAGGAUGACCAGCCACACUGGAACUGAGACACGGUCCAGACUCCUAAGGGAGGCAGCAGUGGGGAAUAUUGCACAAGGGGCGCAAGCCUGAUGCAGCCAUGCCGCGGGUAUGAAGAAGGCCUUCGGGUUGUAAAGUACUUUCAGCGGGGAGGCGGUACCCGCAGAAGAAGCAACGGCUAACUCCGUGCCAGCAGCCGCGGUAAUAG